UGGGGAAUAUUGCACAAUGGGCGCAAGCCUGAUGCAGCCAUGCCGCGUGUAUGAAGAAGGCCUUCGGGUUGUAAAGUACUUUCAGCGGGGAGGAAGGUGUUGUGGUUAAUAACCGCAGCAAUUGACGUUACCCGCAGAAGAAGCACCGGCUAACUCCGUGCCAGCAGCCGCGGUAAUACGGAGGGUGCAAGCGUUAAUCGGAAUUACUGGGCGUAAAGCGCACGCAGGCGGUCUGUCAAGUCGGAUGUGAAAUCCCCGGGCUCAACCUGGGAACUGCAUUCGAAACUGGCAGGCUAGAGUCUUGUAGAGGGGGGUAGAAUUCCAGGUGUAGCGGUGAAAUGCGUAGAGAUCUGGAGGAAUACCGGUGGCGAAGGCGGCCCCCUGGACAAAGACUGACGCUCAGGCGCGAAAGCGUGGGGAGCAAACA
rnacentral:rRNA from 1 species